GUGUCAGCCGCCGCGGUAAGACAGAGGGGGCAAGCGUUGCUCGGAAUUACUGGGCGUAAAGGGCGCGUAGGCGGGACGGAAAGUCGGUCGUGAAAUCCUCCGGCUCAACCGGAGAACGGCGAUCGAUACUUCCGUUCUUGAGGGUUGCAGAGGAGACUGGAAUUCCCGGUGUAGCGGUGAAAUGUGUAGAGAUCGGGAGGAACACCGGUGGCGAAGGCGGGUCUCUGGGCAACUCCUGACGCUGAGGCGCGAAAGCGUGGGGAGCAAACGGGAUUAGAUACCCUCGUAGUCC
rnacentral:rRNA from 1 species